GGAAUCUGCCUGGUAGUGGGGGACAACGUUUCGAAAGGAACGCUAAUACCGCAUACGUCCUACGGGAGAAAGCAGGGGACCUUCGGGCCUUGCGCUAUCAGAUGAGCCUAGGUCGGAUUAGCUAGUUGGUGAGGUAAUGGCUCACCAAGGCGACGAUCCGUAACUGGUCUGAGAGGAUGAUCAGUCACACUGGAACUGAGACACGGUCCAGACUCCUACGGGAGGCAGCAGUGGGGAAUAUUGGACAAUGGGCGAAAGCCUGAUCCAGCCAUGCCGCGUGUGUGAAGAAGGUCUUCGGAUUGUAAAGCACUUUAAGUUGGGAGGAAGGGCAGUAAAUUAAUACUUUGCUGUUUUGACGUUACCGACAGAAUAAGCACCGGCUAACUCUGUGCCAGCAGCCGCGGUAAUACAGAGGGUGCAAGCGUUAAUCGGAAUUACUGGGCGUAAAGCGCGCGUAUGUGGUUCGUUAAGUUGGAUGUGAAAUCCCCGGGCUCA
rnacentral:rRNA from 1 species